GACGAACGCUGGCGGCGUGCUUAACACAUGCAAGUCGAACGGAAAGGCCCUGCUUUUGUGGGGUGCUCGAGUGGCGAACGGGUGAGUAACACGUGAGUAACCUGCCCUUGACUUUGGGAUAACUUCAGGAAACUGGGGCUAAUACCGGAUAGGAGCUCCUGCUGCAUGGUGGGGGUUGGAAAGUUUCGGCGGUUGGGGAUGGACUCGCGGCUUAUCAGCUUGUUGGUGGGGUAGUGGCUUACCAAGGCUUUGACGGGUAGCCGGCCUGAGAGGGUGACCGGCAAAAUGGGACUGAGGUACCGGCCAGACUCCUACGGGGGGGAAGAGGUGGGGAUUAUGGCCAAAGGGGCGGAGCCCGAUGGAACAACCCCCGCGUGGGGAAUGACGGCUUUGGGGUGGAAACCGCUUUCGCCUGUGACGAAGCGUGAGUGACGGUAAUGGGUAAAGAAGCACCGGCUAACUACGUG
rnacentral:rRNA from 1 species